UACGUAGGGUGCAAGCGUUAAUCGGAAUUACUGGGCGUAAAGCGUGCGCAGGCGGUGAUGUAAGACAGGUGUGAAAUCCCCGGGCUUAACCUGGGAACUGCAUUUGUGACUGCAUCGCUGGAGUGCGGCAGAGGGGGAUGGAAUUCCGCGUGUAGCAGUGAAAUGCGUAGAUAUCAAGAGGAACACCUGCGGCGAAGGCGGGUUGCUGGGCCGACACUGACGCUGAGGCGCGAAAGCUAGGGGAGCGAACGGG
rnacentral:rRNA from 1 species